rnacentral:rRNA from 1 species
UACGUAGGGGGCUAGCGUUGUCCGGAAUCAUUGGGCGUAAAGAGCGUGUAGGCGGUCCGGUAAGUCGGCUGUGAAAGUCCAGGGCUCAACCCUGGGAUGCCGGUCGAUACUGCCGGACUAGAGUUCGGAAGAGGCGAGUGGAAUUCCCGGUGUAGCGGUGAAAUGCGCAGAUAUCGGGAGGAACACCUAUGGCGAAGGCAGCUCGCUGGACCAGCACUGACACUGAGGCACGAAAGCCGUGGGGAGCAAACAGG